UGGGGAAUCUUGCGCAAUGCGCGAAAGCGUGACGCAGCAACGCCGCGUGGGGGAAGAAGGCCUUCGGGUUGUAAACUCCUUUCAGGAGGGACGAAGGGCAGGCCGCGAAUAGCGUGCUUGUCUGACGGUACCUCCAGAAGAAGCCCCGGCUAACUACGUGCCAGCAGCCGCGGUAAUACGUAGGGGGCAAGCGUUGUCCGGAAUCAUUGGGCGUAAAGCGCGCGUAGGCGGCCUCGUAAGUCCGCUGUGAAAGUCAAAGGCUCAACCUUUGAAUGCCGGUGGAUACUGCGAGGCUAGAGUCCGGAAGAGGCGAGUGGAACUCCUGGUGUAGCGGUGGAAUGCGCAGAUAUCAGGAAGAACACCAACGGCGAAGGCAGCUCGCUAGGACGGUACUGACGCUAAGGCGCGAAAGCGUGGGGAGCAAACAG
rnacentral:rRNA from 1 species